CAUUAAGUUGGGAGGAAGGGUUGUAGAUUAAUACUCUGCAGUUUAGACGUUACCGACAGAAUAAGCACCGGCUAACUCUGUGCCUGCAGCCGCGGUAAUACAGAGGUGCAAGCGUUAAUCGGAAUUACUGGGCGUAAAGCGCGCGUAGGUGGUUCGUUAAGUUGCAUGUGAAAUCCCC
rnacentral:rRNA from 1 species